rnacentral:lncRNA from 1 species
UGCCGCCCUCUGCCGCUCGCCCCAGGCCAGCUGCAUUUCAGCACAGGGGAGGCGAUGGAGGCCGGCAGGCGGGAGGGCCCUCUGGAGCCUGGACUGAGCUCGAUCGGGUGCGUGGGGCUGGGGUCGCAUCGUGCUCACCCACGCUGCUUUCCUCAGGGCUUGCCAGGAGUGCCAGGACACCCCGGGGCUCAGGGUGAACGUGGUGAGAGAGGAGAAGUGGGAGACAAGGGUGCCCGAGGACUGCCUGGGCGCAGGGUGAGUACAGCGCAGCCACCCUGUCCUGGCAGCACCCGCCUUGUCCCUGGCAUCUCCCUGCUCAUAGGGGCCAGGCUGCCCUGGCUCACCCCAGGGUCUGGGUGCUCAUCUUUUCCAUCAGGGCAUCCCUGGGAGCAGAGGAGAAACGGGCGUCCACGGCAGCACGGGACCUCCAGGAGAGAUGGGCCUGCAGGGCUUGCCGGGCGUUCCCACCUCCACGGUAAGGGCUGCUGGUGCGGGGCUGGCUGGGGACGGGGACCCGGCCUCACCGCGAGGCUGCAGGGGGCUCUCGGGGGUCAGGGCUUUGCUCGGAAUAGCUGGGACAUAGGAG